GACGAACCGUGCGAACGUUGUUCGGAUUCACUGGGCUUAAAGGGCGCGUAGGCGGCGAUUCAAGUCUGGGGUGAAAGCCUUCGGCUUAACCGGAGAAGUGCCUUGGAUACUGGAUCGCUCGAGGGGGAUAGGGGCAUGCGGAACUUCCGGUGGAGCGGUGAAAUGCGUAGAUAUCGGAAGGAACGCCGGUGGCGAAAGCGGCAUGCUGGGUCGCUUCUGACGCUGAGGCGCGAAAGCCAGGGGAGCAAACGGG
rnacentral:rRNA from 1 species